GACGAACGCUGGCGGUGUGCUUCACACAUGCAAGUCGAACGAGGUAGCAAUACCUAGUGGCGGACGGGUGAGUAACGCGUGGGAAUCUGCCUUUAGAUGGGGGAUAACGGGUCGAAAGACUCGCUAAUACCGCAUAUGACGAAAGUUGAAAGGAGUAAUCCGUCUAAAGAUGAGCCCGCGUCCGAUUAGCUAGUUGGUAGAGUAAAAAGCCUACCAAGGCGACGAUCGGUAGCUGGUCUGAGAGGAUGAUCAGCCACAAUGGGACUAGAGACACGGCCCAUACUCCUACGGAGGCAGCAGUGGGAAUUUACGCAAUGGCGAAAGCCUGACGUAGCGACACCGCGUGAGCGAAGAAGCCCUGGGUGUAAAAGCUCUGUCAGCUGGACGAAAAAAGUGACGGUACCAGCAGA
rnacentral:rRNA from 1 species